UGGAGCUGUGACGGAGGUGCAUUGUAGUCGCAUUGUCUGUAUCCUUUAUUCUCUGCGGCAAUACAACUGCAGUGCAAGCUCCGUGCAGUUCAC
rnacentral:pre_miRNA from 1 species